GUGCUCACUUCAGCAGCACAUAUACUAAAAUUGGAAUGAUACAGAGAAGACCAGCAUGGCCCCGGCGUAAGGAUGACACACAAAUUCAUGAAGCGUUCCAUGUUUUU
ensembl:snRNA U6 U6 spliceosomal RNA